GAAGCCCUCGUUCUUGAACUCCACAUGGUACGUGUGAGCCACAGCCGGAGCCACCAGGCCGCAGGACAGCAGCCAGAUCCCGGACAGAAGCGGCUGCCGGGUGUGCUCAUCUUGAAGCCAGCAAGUCAAAUCAGCCCACAAGCCGUGAGCCUUUUGUUUGGGCACCGUUGCCAAGCUACUGCACGUAUUUGGAUGCUGUCACCCCGGCAACGAUGAUGGAUGCGUUCGUCGCUACCUAAUUUGUGGGUCUGGAUUGGAAUUCUGAUGCUAUCACCUGAACUACAUGUCUCCACAAGAAGACACAGACUACCUCGCAUUGUAAGUAUCCGAGAAAUGUUCAUGCAGAUGGAAAACAAAUGUGCAGGAAAGACUUCAUUAGAACUCCCAUGGUUCUGCGGAAUAGAUCUCCAUGUUUCCCUUUUUACUGCGGAAGAAGCGCUGAAGUCUUGUCUUGACAAUUUCAGGGAUUUUAAGUAGAUGUAUUUAUUAAUGGAAGACCCUACAGGAAUAAUAUUACACAUUCUGUUGACUCUCACAUUCACACAUGCGUUUGUUAGAUUAUUUUAAAUAACAAACCGCAGACCUACAGUUGCACUCACAAUUAUUCACCCUUAUUGCAAAUUAGGUUUAUUGGGAAAAUGUAUACAUUUUCAACUGUUUUCGAUUAAAACAAAUUUAAUAGGCGGGAAGCACAACUGAUGUUACAAAUACUACCGCAGUCUCACAAUUACACCAGGACUACACAUUUGCUAACACCUGAUGUAACUAAUCAGGGCUCCACAGCAUCAGAUGUGCCCGAGAUAGAAAACAUCAAAUAUCUGGACUGGCACUGAUGUUUGAGUGCAUAUUUCAAAUAUGGGUAAGUGGCAGAAACAGGAAGCCACCAGCGGCUGCCAUCAGAUUUCUGGCAAGGCAGGUGGCCAAAAAACCCUCGAGGGACUGCAGAAGACCCGCAAGUCCUGGUGUAAGCAGACACUGAGGCUUCGGUUUGCUCAGUAAGGAGCUUACUAAACAUCGAAGGUCUCUCCAUGCGCUAACUCUGCGCAGCGAUGAAAAGUUUUCCGGCAUGGAUGAGCGGUAUGUUUGGAGGAGGAAGCUGAUGCGAACACCCUGCCUACAUUUGUUUUGUUGAUUUAAAUGGUUCUUGUUUGAGUUUAAUAAACCUAAUUUGAAACGGGGUUGAAUAACAGUCCUACAUUGACUCAAUAUAUGAUUUAUUUUUCUUAAAAUCAUCCAUUAAUGAUCAAAUGUCGACAGGAUUAGUGUUCUGAAUACAUCAGACAAAUACUUUAUUAUUAUGGCAUUGAUUUUAGCUGCUGUUAUGCUUCGUUGAUUAUUUUUAUCCAUCCAAACCAUAACUAUUUAAAGUUCUACUGUUCUCAAGUACUUGCUCAACUCCCGGAUGGCUGCUUUUAUAGACCACAAUGCAUUAGUUCCCAUAUCAGUGAAAAGGGGGUUUUAGGGGUUUCUCACUAAAACCCGCUGUGUUUCAUUUCAUCCUGCUCGUUGUUCCAUGCUGUCUGUGGCCUGAUCUUGCUCUCAGCUAACUAAAUGCACAUUAUGGAAGUUGGAGUGUGAGUGGGGGGUUGGACGCCCUGUUAGCAUGCUGCAGACAAAAGUUCUCAAUUGUGGGGUUAACAGCACAGGAAAGAAAUAAUGACUCCAUGCUUGGGCCUCCUAAAAUACCAUCAAAACAUCAGGAUGCCCUAAUGGGCGCCUGCGGCAAUGCUCACUGCAGUGCUUAUUACACCAGCAUUCAAGCCACUUUGAAACCACACGGAGCUUUAAAGAAAAAAAAAAACCUGUCAAUCACAGCAAAUGUUCUGGGCCACUUAGCCUGUUUUCUACAGAUGACUUACCCUGUAAAUUAAAUAAUUCUUCAGAAAUAUCUUCAAUUGUUUACUGAAUUUACUGAGUGCCAUAUUUUUACACUUGUGUUACAAUCAAAUAGUGUCCAGUAGUGAAGCACAGGCCCCUCUGGGAGGAGUCAUGCUCGCUUAGGUAGGAAGUACAAUUAUGUAUAGCUCCU